rnacentral:rRNA from 1 species
GUCCUAGCCGUAAACGUUGGGUGCUAGGUGUGGGGGGACAUCGACCCCCUCCGUGCCGAAGCUAACGCAUUAAGCACCCCGCCUGGGGAGUACGGCCGCAAGGCUAAAACUCAAAGGAAUUGACGGGGCCCCGCACAAGCGGCGGAGCAUGUUGCUUAAUUCGAUGCGACGCGAAGAACCUUACCUGGGCUUGACAUGCAGGGUGGAACCCGUGAAAGCGGGCGCUCUUCGGAGCCUGCACAGGUGGUGCAUGGCUGUCGU